AUUGAACGCUGGCGGCAUGCCUUACACAUGCAAGUCGAACGGUAACAGGUUAAGCUGACGAGUGGCGAACGGGUGAGUAAUGUAUCGGAACGUGCCCAGUCGUGGGGGAUAACUACUCGAAAGAGUGGCUAAUACCGCAUACGACCUGAGGGUGAAAGCGGGGGACCGAAAGGCCUCGCGCGAUUGGAGCGGCCGAUAUCAGUUUAGCUAGUUGGCGGGGUAAAAGCCCACCAAGGCGACGAUAUGUAGCUGGUCUGAGAGGACGACCAGCCACACUGGGACUGAAAUACGGCCCGGACUCCUACGGGAGGCAGCAGUGGGGAAUUUUGGACAAUGGACGCAAGUCUGAUCCAGCCAUGCCGCGUACGGGAAGAAGGCCUUCGGGUUGUAGACCGCUUUUGUCAGGGAAGAAACGGGUUUCUCUAAUACAGAGACCUAAUGACGGUACCUGAAGAAUAAGCACCGGCUAACUACGUGCCAGCAGCCGCCGUAA
rnacentral:rRNA from 1 species